rnacentral:rRNA from 1 species
CUCGCAAGAGUGAACUAGCUAACUGGAAUCAUGAGUGUGUCACUUGUGAUUAGUAAGAGGAAAAUAAUGAUAUCACUUUUACAAAUAGUGUUGUCCAAAGCUGAGAGGUCAAGAGAAUUUCUAGAUUAGGGUUGAUAUCUAUAAAAACUAGAAGGAAUUCUAAUUAGCGAAGGCACUUUUCUAUCUAAUGAUUGACGCUGAGAAACGAAGGGGAGGAUAGACAAUAGGAUUAGAUACCCUGGCAUCCCUCUCUGUAAACGAUGAAUGGUAGUUGCUAGUAAUAAUUAUUAGUGGCGAUGCUAACGCGUUAACCAUUCCGCCUUGUGAGUACGACUGCAAAGUUGAAAACAAAAAAAUUAGUCGGUUUCGGAGCAA